AUGGCCAAGUACUGGUGGAGUAGCUCUCUUGAUCGGCGUUCAAUGCAUUGGAUGUCGUGGGAGUCUCUCGCACAGCCAAAGAUUAAAGGAGGGAUGGGCUUCCAAGAUUUACAGAUGUUCAACGUAGCACUCCUUGGUAAACAUGGAUGGAGGCUAAUGACAGAGCCCAACUCCUUGUGUGCUCGAGUAUUGAAAGGAAGAUAUUUCCCCAACUGUGAUUUCAUGCAUGCCGGCGUCCCCAAAAGCGCGUUGGCGACAUGGCGGGCAAUCAUAGCAGGGCAAAAAGCUUUGAAUGUUGGGCUAAUCAAACAUAUCGGAAGUGGCACAACAGUGUCUAUAUGGGAGGAUAAAUGGAUCCCA
rnacentral:rRNA from 1 species